rnacentral:rRNA from 1 species
AACGAACGCUGGCGGCGUGCCUAACACAUGCAAGUCGAGCGCGAAAGGAGCAAUCCGAGUAGAGCGGCGCACGGGUGCGUAACACGUGGAUAAUCUGCCUCAGGGUCGAGGAUAACCUUCCGAAAGGUUGGCUAAUACUCGGUAAGCUUACGGUGACUUCGGUCGCUGUGAGAAAACUAGACCUCUAUUUAUAAGUUUAGGCCCAGAGAUGAGUCCGCGGCCCAUCAGCUAGUUGGCGGGGUAACGGCCCACCAAGGCUACGACGGGUAGCUGGUCGGAGGGGACGAGCAGCCACACUGGAACGGAGGCACGGUACAGACUCCGACGGGAGGAAGCAGUGGGGAAUUUUCCACAAUGGGCGAAAGCCUGAUGGAGCAACGCCGCGUGUGUGAUGAAGGUCUUCGGAUCGUAAAGCACUUUCGACUGGGACGAAAAACCUUUGGCUAACAUCCAGGGGCCUGACGGUACCAGGAGAAGAAGCACCGGCUAACUCUGUGCCAGCCGCCGCGGUAAUAC